AAGUCGUAACAAGGUUUCCGUAGGUGAACCUGCGGAAGGAUCAUUAGAGAAAUUAUUGAGAGUUGAGCUGGCUUUUCACGAAGCAUGUGCUUGCUUUCUAAUUACUUUAUCCAUACACCUGUGCACCUUUGAGGUAGGGGUGGGAAACCCGUUGCUUUCGCCUCGUCCCGUUUCCAUUCCAGUUUAAACUCCAUUAAAAUCCGUAACCUUAAAUUUCGGAAACAGUUUGGAAAAUUCGAUGGAAUUUGAGUCCGCCUUUUAACCGGGCCCCUUUAAAAUUCCAAUUAUAUAA
rnacentral:misc_RNA from 1 species